rnacentral:rRNA from 1 species
UACGUAGGCAGCGAGCGUUUGUUCGGAGUUACUGGGCGUAAAGGGUGUGUAGGCGGUUGUUUAAGUUUGGUGUGAAAUCUCCCGGCUCAACUGGGAGGGUGCGCCGAAUACUGAAUGACUUGGAGUGCGGGAGAGGUGAGUGGAAUUCCUGGUGUAGCGGUGAAAUGCGUAGAUAUCAGGAGGAACACCGGUGGUGUAGACGGCUCACUGGACCGUAACUGACGCUGAGACACGAAAGCGUGGGUAGCAAACAGG